GGACUAGUGGCAGAGCGGUUACUGCACCUGGGUCACCUGACAUAGAAUAGAUCACAGGAAGCUCCCCCCGGGGCACCCUUGUUCGAAUCAAGGCUAGUCCA